AGAUUUUUGUAAAAGUCAAACUUUGCCAACUUUGACCAAGUGUUUAGAGAAAACUGUCUACAUCUACAAUACCAAACAUGUACAUUCUGAAAAUAUAACUCAUGAUGUAUCGAAUGAUGUGUAUUUGGUAUUGUAGAUGUACCUACUUUUCUCUAUAAACAUGAUCAAAGUUUGUAAUGUUUGACUUUUGUAAAAAUCUA
rnacentral:pre_miRNA from 1 species